rnacentral:rRNA from 1 species
UAGGGAAUUUUCGUCAAUGGGCGCAAGCCUGAACGAGCGAUGCCGCGUGAGUGAAGAAGGCCUUCGGGUCGUAAAGCUCUGUUGCGGGGGAAAAAAGGCAGCAUCAGGAAAUGGGUGCUGACUGAUGGUGCCCCGCCAGAAAGUCACGGCUAACUACGUGCCAGCAGCCGNGGUAAUCUCUAGCU